rnacentral:rRNA from 1 species
GACGGAGGAUGCAAGUGUUAUCCGGAAUCACUGGGCGUAAAGCGUCUGUAGGUGGUCAAAUAAGUCAACUGUUAAAUCUUGAGGCUCAACCUCAAAAUCGCAGUCGAAACUAUUCGACUAGAGUAUAGUAGGGGUAAAGGGAAUUUCCAGUGGAGCGGUGAAAUGCGUAGAGACUGGAAAGAACACCGAUGGCGAAGGCACUUUACUGGGCUAUUACUAACACUGAGAGACGAAAGCUAGGGUAGCAAAUGGG